rnacentral:rRNA from 1 species
GUGUCAGCAGCCGCGGUAAUACGAAAGGGGCUAGCGUUGUUCGGAAUUACUGGGCGUAAAGCGCACGUAGGCGGCCUUGUAAGUUGGGGGUGAAAUCCCGGGGCUCAACUCCGGAACUGCCUUCAAGACUGCAAAGCUAGAGGACGCGAGAGGUUAGCGGAAUUCCGAGUGUAGAGGUGAAAUUCGUAGAUAUUCGGAAGAACACCAGUGGCGAAGGCGGCUAACUGGCGCGUUUCUGACGCUGAGGUGAGAAAGCGUGGGGAGCAAACAGGAUUAGAUACCCUGGUAGUCCACGCCGUAAACGAUGAGUGCUAGUUGUCGGCAUGCAUGCAUGUCGGUGACGCAGCUAACGCGUUAAGCACUCCGCCUGGGGAGUACGGCCGCAAGGUUAAAACUUAAAGGAAUUGGCGGGG